UCAUACAGGGGGAUAACAGUUAGAAAUGACUGCUAAUACCGCAUAAGCGCACGGAAUCGCAUGAUUCAGUGUGAAAAGCCGAGACGGUAUGAGAUGGACCCGCGUCUGAUUAGGUAGUUGGUAAGGUAACGGCUUACCAAGGCGACGAUCAGUAGCCGACCUGAGAGGGUGACCGGCCACAUUGGGACUGAGACACGGCCCAAACUCCUACGGGAGGCAGCAGUGGGGAAUAUUGCACAAUGGGGGAAACCCUGAUGCAGCGACGCCGCGUGAGUGAAGAAGUAUUUCGGUAUGUAAAGCUCUAUCAGCAGGGAAGAAGAUGACGGUACCUGAGUAAGAAGCCCCGGCUAACUACGUGCCAGCAGCCGCGGUAAUACGUAGGGGGCAAGCGUUAUCCGGAUUUACUGGGUGUAAAGGGAGCGUAGACGGCAAGGCAAGUCUGAAGUGAAAGCCCGGGGCUUAACCGCGGGACUGCUUUGGAAACUGUCUGGCUGGAGUGCCGGAGAGGUAAGCGGAAUUCCUAGUGUAGCGGUGAAAUGCGUAGAUAUUAGGAGGAACACCAGUGGCGAAGGCGGCUCUCUGGUCUGUAACUGGCGCUGAGGCUCGAAAGCGUGGGGAGCAAACAGGAUUAGAUACCCUGGUAGUCCACGCCGUAAACGAUGAGUGCUAAGUGUUGGAGGGUUUCCGCCCUUCAGUGCUGCAGCUAACGCAU
rnacentral:rRNA from 1 species